rnacentral:rRNA from 1 species
UACGGAGGAUGCGAGCGUUGUUCGGAAUCAUUGGGCGUAAAGCGCGCGCAGGCGGCUUGGUGAGUCAGAUGUGAAAGCCCUGGGCUUAACCCAGGAAGUGCAUUUGAUACUGCCUCGCUAGAGUACGGGAGAGGAAAGUGGAAUUCCUGGUGUAGAGGUGAAAUUCGUAGAUAUCAGGUGGAACACCGGUGGCGAAGGCGACUUUCUGGCCCUAUACUGACGCUGAGACGCGAGAGCGUGGGUAGCAAACAGGAUUAGAUACCUGGUAGUCC